GAGUUUGAUCCUGGCUCAGAUUGAACGCUGGCGGCAUGCCUUACACAUGCAAGUCGAACGGCAGCACGGGAGCAAUCCUGGUGGCGAGUGGCGAACGGGUGAGUAAUACAUCGGAACGUGCCCAGUAGUGGGGGAUAACCCGGCGAAAGCCGGACUAAUACCGCAUACGACCUACGGGUGAAAGCAGGGGAUCGCAAGACCUUGCGCUAUCGGAGCGGCCGAUGUCAGAUUAGCUUGUUGGUGGGGUAAAAGCCUACCAAGGCGACGAUCUGUAGCUGGUCUGAGAGGACGACCAGCCACACUGGGACUGAGACACGGCCCAGACUCCUACGGGAGGCAGCAGUGGGGAAUUUUGGACAAUGGGCGCAAGCCUGAUCCAGCCAUGCCGCGUGCGGGAAGAAGGCCUUCGGGUUGUAAACCGCUUUUGUCAGGGAAGAAACGCUCCGGGCUAAUACCUUGGAGUAAUGACGGUACCUGAAGAAUAAGCACCGGCUAACUACGUGCCAGCAGCCGCGGUAAUACGUAGGGUGCAAGCGUUAAUCGGAAUUACUGGGCGUAAAGCGUGCGCAGGCGGCUUUGCAAGGCAGAUGUGAAAUCCCCGGGCUUAACCUGGGAACUGCAUUUGUGACUGCAUGGCUGGAGUGCGGCAGANGGGGAUGGAAUUCCGCGUGUAGCAGUGAAAUGCGUAGAUAUGCGGAGGAACACCGAUGGCGAAGGCAAUCCCCUGGGCCUGCACUGACGCUCAUGCACGAAAGCGUGGGGAGCAAACAGGA
rnacentral:rRNA from 1 species